UUUAACGAGAGUUUGAUCCUGGCUCAGGAUGAACGCUGGCGGCGUGCUUAACACAUGCAAGUCGAGCGAAGCACUUUUGCGGAUUUCUUCGGAUUGAAGCAACUGUGACUGAGCGGCGGACGGGUGAGUAACGCGUGGGUAACCUGCCUCAUACAGGGGGAUAACAGUUGGAAACGGCUGCUAAUACCGCAUAAGCGCACAGUACCGCAUGGUACGGUGUGAAAAACUCCGGUGGUAUGAGAUGGACCCGCGUCUGAUUAGCUAGUUGGUGGGGUAACGGCCUACCAAGGCGACGAUCAGUAGCCGACCUGAGAGGGUGACCGGCCACAUUGGGACUGAGACACGGCCCAAACUCCUACGGGAGGCAGCAGUGGGGAAUAUUGCACAAUGGGGGAAACCCUGAUGCAGCGACGCCGCGUGAGCGAUGAAGUAUUUCGGUAUGUAAAGCUCUAUCAGCAGGGAAGAAAAUGACGGUACCUGACUAAGAAGCCCCGGCUAACUACGUGCCAGCAGCCGCGGUAAUACGUAGGGGGCAAGCGUUAUCCGGAUUUACUGGGUGUAAAGGGAGCGUAGACGGCAUGGCAAGCCAGAUGUGAAAGCCCGGGGCUCAACCCCGGGACUGCAUUUGGAAC
rnacentral:rRNA from 1 species